rnacentral:rRNA from 1 species
GAUGAACGCUGGCGGCGUGCCUAACACAUGCAAGUCGAACGCUCGCAAGAGAGUGGCGCACGGGUGAGUAACACGUAGCUAAUCUGCCCUCAAGACAAGGAUAACUGUAGGAAACUACUGCUAAUACUUGAUAAGCUUACGGACUGUAGAGGUCCAUAAGAAAAGAUUUAUCGCUUGAGGAUGAGGCUGCGCGCCAUCAGCUAGUUGGUGAGGUAAUGGCUCACCAAGGCGACGACGGCUAGGGGACCUGAGAGGGUGACCCCCCACACUGGGACGUG